CAGGAAGAUUGGUUCCACUCUGUAAGGGGUGCAACAUGGAGGAGAGAAUACUGCCUCUAUUCCCUUCACAAGGUAAUUGUGACAGCAACAAGAAAGGCUUGAGAAGUUCCUCCAAAGAAGUACUCCAAGGAAUACAGAGUUCUGGGCUGCCUAACAUCUUCUGGUACCAUGAGAGCUAGAACCCGGGAGGAGGCUUCCAGGAGGUUCUGGAGUGAUUCUGUUUAGUUCUGGAGAAACUAGAAAGAUUCAAGUGAAGUUUGUGCGUUCCCAGUCAGCAAGCUAGUUUUGUGGAGAUGAGCGAUUUGAAACAUCUGCAUGGACCAGAAAAGAAGCAGAAAAGUUUCCCCAAAAUUGACUGCCUGGCCAGCAAGCUCCGGUGAUUCUCCUGGCUCUACAUCUAAAAUGGGAUUACAGGUACACACCACACCAGGCUUAACUUUUCAUGCCUAUAUUGGAACCUAUGUCUAUACUCAUAUUUGCAGGCAAAUGCAUUACUGACUGAGACAUCUCCCUAGAACCCAAGUCAGAGAGUUUGAAGAAUCUUCUUCCUAAAUAGGACUUAGAAUCAAAACAUUAUAAAUUUAUUUAUAAAAUGAGUAUAAACACACUUUUCCCAUUUUUUAAAUUGGAAAUAUCUCAAAGGUGAUGUUAUCAUGAAGAGUCAUAAAUAGUAAGUUAAGCAAAAGACAGUGGACACAACACUUUGCUGAACUGGCAGUGGAAUAGAGGGCAAAGACAAGCUUCUUUUUUGUUUUUUAACUUCAAUUAAUAUCUUUGGGAGCAAGCAGCACAUUAAUACAUCUUGAAUUGAUGCUAUAUUAGGCAAUGCAGUAAACAUAGAUAAUGACUUAGAAACUACUUCCCUGAAACUUGAAAAGGUUACAAAUAUGGACUCAAAUCAAAAUGAGAUUAAACUGGAGAGAAAGUAAACUCGUACAUCUGGGAAGAAAUUGAAUCGGCUUCGAGGUCCUCCUGAGAAAUCUGGUGGAAGAUCUGGAGCAAGCGAGGAAGCUAAAUCAAACGAAAUUUACAAUAUAAUGUUUGAGCGAAAAAGUCAGUGUGGUGGGAGCUGCAAAGAGGAGAAAUCUUACAAA
rnacentral:lncRNA from 1 species